CAGCCGCGGUAAUUCCAGCUCCAAUAGCGUAUAUUAAAGUUGUUGCAGUUAAAAAGCUCGUAGUUGAAUUUCGGAAUCAAUGGGGUUGGUCAUGCCCUCGGUAUGUACUGAUUUCAUUGGUUCUCACCUUCUAAGGAACCAUGAUGUCAUUUGUUUGAUGUUGUGGGAAAUUAGGACUGUUACCUUGAAAAAAUUAGAGUGUUUAAAGCAGGCUAACGCUUGAAUACAUUAGCAUGGAAUAAUGAAAUAGGACAUCCGAUUCUAUUUUGUUGGUUUCUAGGAUCGAUGUAAUGAUUAAUAGGGAUAGUUGGGGGGCAUUAGUAUUCAAUUGUCAGAGGUGAAAAUUCUUGGGAUUUAUUGAAGACUACUACUGCGAAAGCAUUUGCCAAGGAUGUUUUCAUUAAUCAAGAACGAAGUUAGGGGAUCGAAGACGAUCAGAUACCGUCGUAGUCUUAACCAUAAACUAUGCCGACUAGGGAUCGGAUGAUGUUAAUUUUAUAAUGACUCAUUCGGCACCUUACGGGAAAC
rnacentral:rRNA from 1 species